rnacentral:rRNA from 1 species
CCUACAUGAAGCUGGAGUUACUAGUAAUCGCAGAUCAGAAUGCUGCGGUGAAUGCGUUCCCGGGUCCUGUACACACCGCCCGUCACACCACGGAAGUUGGGGCGCCCGAAGCCACUUAGCUAACCCUUUUGGGAAGCGAGUGUCGAAGGUGAAAUCAAUAACUGGGGUGAAGUCGUAACAAGGUAAC